GAAACACUGGUUUUCUUACGAUCACCGAAGUUAAGCAACGUCGAGCCUGGUCAGUACCUAGAUGGGUGACACCUCGGAAAUACUAGGUGCUA